UACGAGCGGCGGACGGGUGGAGUAACAACGUGGACAAUCUGCCCCCGGCCCCGGGACUAGCCCAGGGAAACCUGGAGUUAAUACCGGAUGAGACGGGACCCGCGAAGGCGGGACCCGGGAAAGGCGCUGCGGCGCCGCCGGGGGAGUGAGUCUGCGUCCCAUUAGCUAGACGGCGGGGUAACGGCCCACCGUGGCGACGAUGGGUAGCCGGCCUGAGAGGGUGGACGGCCACAUUGGAACUGAGACACGGUCCAGACUCCUACGGGAGGCAGCAGCUAAGAAUCUUCCGCAAUGGGCGAAAGCCUGACGGGGCGACGCCGCCGUGAACGAAGAAGGCCGUGAGGUUGUAAAGUUCUUUUCGGGAGGGGGAAUAACCGUGGCAGGGAAUGGCCGCGGGAUGACGUGAAUCCCGGAAUAAGCCCCGGCUAACUACGUGCCAGCAGCAGC
rnacentral:rRNA from 1 species